rnacentral:rRNA from 1 species
GGAUCGGAGUCUGCAACCCGACUCCGUGAAGCUGGAUUCGCUAGUAAUCGCGCAUCAGCCAUGGCGCGGUGAAUACGUUCCCGGGCCUUGUACACACCGCCCGUCAAGCCAUGGGAGCCGGGGGGUGCUUGAAGUGCGUCGCCGCGAGGCGCGCCCUAGAGCAAAAACCGGUGACUGGGGCUAAGUCGUAACAAGGUAGC